rnacentral:rRNA from 1 species
UACGAAGGUGGCAAGCGUUGUUCGGAUUUACUGGGCGUACAGGGAGCGUAGGCGGUUGGAUAAGCCCUCCGUGAAAUCUCCAGGCUUAACCUGGAAAGUGCAGAGGGGACUGUUCAGCUAGAGGAUGGGAGAGGAGCGCGGAAUUCCCGGUGUAGCGGUGAAAUGCGUAGAGAUCGGGAGGAAGGCCGGUGGCGAAGGCGGAUCUCUGGACCAGUUCUGACACUGAUGAGCGAAAGCCAGGGGAGCAAACAGG